rnacentral:rRNA from 1 species
CUUCAAUAAGGUGCUCAAGGUGUACGUGCAUUACCCAUGACGGCAAUAGUUCAAUACACAUUUGACAAGAUGAAUGAAUACUUUUUGAAGCACUCAAUGGAGACUGAUAAGCAGAUUGCUGGUGAGAACAAGGAUAAGCACAAGUACAAUUUCCCACCAAAGGUUGAAGAAUGGUUGGAAUUUCAAUCACGAAAGGCAGACUCCGAAGAAGCUGUUCUAUAUGACGACAACGAGUGGAAGUAUGAGGUGAAAGAGCCCGGAGGAACCACAAAUGAUGGCCGCCAGCACGGAGGCCGGGCUUUCAAGGUCUCCCUAACACGGUGUGAUUGCAGCUGCAUGAGGCCGUCUUUGCUUCAUCUCCCAUGCUCGCACUUGUUAAAUGCAUCCCGGGUUAGGAAUGUGGACGUCAAUCACCCUCUAACCGUGAGGGAGUCCGAGUUCUCAAUCAUGACGGUAAAGAAGACAUGGACUCCACGGUUCCAGCCAUACUUGGACCAAUCACAAUGGCCGGAGUAUCAUGGAGUUCAACUAUGGCCGGACCCG